GGUGAUGUAGCCAAGCAGUAAGGCAGCGGUCUGCAAAACCGCCAUUCGUGGGUGCAAUUCCCACCAUCACCU
rnacentral:tRNA from 1 species